CAGCCGCCGCGGGAAUACGUAGGGUGCGAGCGUUAAUCGGAAUUACAGGGCGUAAAGCGUGCGCAGGCGGUUCGCUAAGACAGAUGUGAAAUCCCCGGGCUUAACCUGGGAACUGCAUUUGUGACUGGCGGGCUAGAGUAUGGCAGAGGGGGGUAGAAUUCCACGUGUAGCAGUGAAAUGCGUAGAGAUGUGGAGGAAUACCGAUGGCGAAGGCAGCCCCCUGGGCCAAUACUGACGCUCAUGCACGGAAGCGUGGGGAGCAAACAGGAUUAGAUACCCCGGUAGUCCCUGUCUCUUAUAC
rnacentral:rRNA from 1 species